GAUGAACGCUGGCGGCGUGCCUAAUACAUGCAAGUCGAGCGAACGGACGAGAAGCUUGCUUCUCUGAUGUUAGCGGCGGACGGGUGAGUAACACGUGGAUAACCUACCUAUAAGACUGGGAUAACUUCGGGAAACCGGAGCUAAUACCGGAUAAUAUUUUGAACCGCAUGGUUCAAUAGUGAAAGACGGUUUUGCUGUCACUUAUAGAUGGAUCCGCGCUGCAUUAGCUAGUUGGUAAGGUAACGGCUUACCAAGGCAACGAUGCAUAGCCGACCUGAGAGGGUGAUAGGCCACACUGGAACUGAGACACGGUCCAGACUCCUACGGGAGGCAGAAGUAGGGAAUAUUCCGCAAUGCGCGAAAGCCUGACGGAGCAACGCCGCGUGAGUGAUGAAGGUCUUCGGAUCGUAAAACUCUGUUAUUAGGGAAGAAAAUAUGUGUAAGUAACUGUGCACAUCUUGACGGUACCUAAUCAGAAAGCCACGGCUAACUACGUG
rnacentral:rRNA from 1 species